AUGGUGCCCCGACACCAACCCUACAGCCCUUUACCCUACCCCCCGACACCUAGUCCCAUCCUCACAGACUCAGAAUCUGAAGCUGUCUUAAUCUGGGGUUGUCUGCUCACCAGGCAAAGAAACCUGCUGAAACUGGCCCAGUUAGAGGGAGCUGAAGCCCUGGCAACAGGCCCUGAAGUCGGCAACAGGUUAAUAAUAAAUAAUUCCCCUCUUCCCCCCAAAGGCAAGCAUGAGGAGCGGCAGGACGAGCAUGGCUACAUCUCCUGGUGCUUCACGCGGAAAUACACGCUGCCCCCCGGUGUGGACCCCACCCAGGUCUCCUCCUCCCUGUCCCCUGAGGGCACACUGACCGUGGAGGCCCCCAUGCCCAACCUAGCCAUGCAGUCCAACGAGAUCACCAUCCCAGUCACCUUCGAGUCGCGGGCCCAGCUUGGGGGCCCAGAAGCUGCAAAAUCCAACGAGACUGCCGCCAAGUAAAGCCUUAGCCCGGAUGCCCACCCCCGCUGCCGCCACUGGCUGUGCCUCCCCCCACCACCUGUGUGUUCUUUUGAUAUGUUUAUCUUCUGUUUUUCUCAAAUAAAGUUCGAAGCAACCCCC